rnacentral:lncRNA from 1 species
GACAGUCCAAUUUUUCUAGGGGGAAGUGGACCAACUGGACCUGACAAUAGUUUUGCAGCCAGAUUCAUAUCAGGCUUGAGACCUUCAAGAGGAGGAGUUUCAGACUAAUUUUGAUAGAGUUAUGAGGGGAGAUUGACACACAAAUCUAUUUCAACCUCCAGAACUCAAUGAAAUACGGUUUUUUUGUUUUACUGCAGAACUUUUAUUUUAGUAAUAUUAUGCUUUAGUUGUUUUGGUUAGAAAGUACAAUUUCACUUACU